AUCUCUCAAAAUAUCCUCUCGGAUCUCUAAAUCUAUAGGCACACACAGUCAGUCCCUGUACUGCAGUACUUCCGAAUUGUCCACAACAAAACUCUCUGCCUGUCCUCUCUCCAUCUGCUUUCGAAUCCUCAACAAGUGAGGGUCUCCACUCUAUUUCUCUCUGAUCCUAUCGAACAAAGUGGGCUGCAAGACCAUAGACAUCAGUCUUGCAGUUGACCCAGGGGACACUACCUCGAGCCUCGACCGUUGCAGCUCCU
rnacentral:lncRNA from 1 species